AGGCCCUUCGGGGUACACGAGCGGCGAACGGGUGAGUAACACGUGAGUAAUCUGCCCUCCACUUCGGGAUAAGCCUCGGAAACGGGGUCUAAUACCGGAUAUGACCACUUCAUGCAUGUGAUGGUGGUGGAAAGUUUUUCGGUGGGGGAUGUGCUCGCGGCCUAUCAGCUUGUUGGUGGGGUAAUGGCCUACCAAGGCUUCGACGGGUAGCCGGCCUGAGAGGGUGACCGGCCACACUGGGACUGAGACACGGCCCAGACUCCUACGGGAGGCAGCAGUGGGGAAUAUUGGACAAUGGGCGGAAGCCUGAUCCAGCAACGCCGCGUGAGGGAUGACGGCCUUCGGGUUGUAAACCUCUUUCAGUGGGGACGAAGCGCAAGUGACGGUACCCACAGAAGAAGCACCGGCCAACUACGUGCCAGCAGCCGCGGUAAUACGUAGGGUGCGAGCGUUGUCCGGAAUUAUUGGGCGUAAAGGGCUCGUAGGCGG
rnacentral:rRNA from 1 species